AUGAACGCUGGCGGCGUGCCUCAUACAUGCAAGUCGAGCGAACGGACGAGAAGCUUGCUUCUCUGAUGUUAGCGGCGGACGGGUGAGUAACACGUGGAUAACCUACCUAUAAGACUGGGAUAACUUCGGGAAACCGGAGCUAAUACCGGAUAAUAUUUUGAACCGCCUGGUUCAAAAGUGAAAGACGGUCUUGCUGUCACUUAUAGAUGGAUCCGCGCUGCAUUAGCUAGUUGGUAAGGUAACGGCUUACCAAGGCAACGAUGCAUAGCCGACCUGAGAGGCUGAUCGCCCACACUGGAACUAAGACACGGUCCAGACGCCUACGGGAGGCAGCAGUAGGGAAUCUUCCGCAAUGGGCGAAAGCCUGACGGAGCAACGCCGCGUGAGUGAUGAAGGUCUUCGGAUCGUAAAACUCUGUUAUUAGGGAAGAACGUAUGUGUAAGUAACUGUGCACAUCUUGACGGUACCUAAUCAGAAAGCCACGGCUAACUACGUG
rnacentral:rRNA from 1 species